GGUUUUUACCCUAAUUACCAAGGUAAUUUGGAGUUCCGACCUUUCUUUCGAGAGAGUGUCUAGAACAUUUUCUAAUUUUUGGACUAGCCUGGCCGCCAUCACUCGUUCCGGCGGCCAGGC
rnacentral:sRNA from 1 species